GCCGUGCUGCCCCUUCCUUCUGCUGCUGCUCGCCCACUGCCCUCUCCUUCCUCUCCCUUUCUUCUUCCUCGAGCAGAGCUCGAAUGAGCUCGUGCGGCUCCCGUCCACCGGCCAAAUCCCCGGCCUCCGCCCCACCAUCUUCAAAUCGCCGCCAACCGAAGCUCCCUCACCUCUCUAGCUUCCUCCUCAGCCCCUCUGACAUGAGCCCGACCGCCGCACGGCCGGGAAACAAGGAUUCUCCGGCCGCCAGCCAUCCAUGGCCAUCGAGCUCCACCUCGACGUGGAACUCCUAGCUCCGGCCACCAUUUUCUUCGUCUAGCGGCUCAAAUCGAAGCUAGGUGAGGCACUAAUGCUCAUGCUCUCCUCGUUCUAGCGCGUUCCACGAGUUUCCGCGCUCGUUUCCGAGCCAUGCCGCCGCCGGCAUGCUGCUGCUCGUCGCGAGCCGGGCGCACGCGCCCCUGCGCCGCACCGCCGAGCGCCCCUACUCCGUCCGACCCUAAUGAAUCCUCCCAUGGCUUCCCCGUCGUCGACCCGCCUCGCCGUCGGCGAGAGCGCCGCCGCCAUCACCGCCUGUGGUACUGCUCCCGUCGCCGGCCCUCUCCGGUCGCCCCCAACCCCAACCAAGCCCACCUACAGGUACGAUAGAUGAACCACGUGAAGGAUGUGAUAUUGGAACCAAACACGAAGACGAUGUUUGGUGGACAUAUCCAGAAGAGGCAAAGAACCAGGAGUACAUGCUUGGACCGGAAUACUCGCCAAGCGAGUGUCAUCUAACAAACACUGACCUAGUGUUAAUCCCAGG